GACGAACGCUGGCGGCGUGCUUAACACAUGCAAGUCGAGCGGUAAGGCCCUUUCGGGGGUACACGAGCGGCGAACGGGUGAGUAACACGUGGGUGACCUGCCCUCAGCUCUGGGAUAAGCCUGGGAAACUGGGUCUAAUACCGGAUAUGACUCCAUGACGCAUGUUGUGGGGUGGAAAGCCUUGUGCGGCUGGGGGAUGGGCCCGCGGCCUAUCAGCUUGUUGGUGGGGUGAGGCCUACCAAGGCGGCGACGGGUAGCCGGCCUGAGAGGGCGACCGGCCACACUGGGACUGAGACACGGCCCAGACUCCUGCGGGAGGCAGCAGUGGGGAAUCUUGCGCAAUGGGCGAAAGCCUGACGCAGCGACGCCGCGUGAGGGAUGACGGCCU
rnacentral:rRNA from 1 species